UCUAUUACUACUACAUCAAAACAAAAACAAUACGACGCAAUAGUUUCUCGUUAGACAAAAGACGAGUAUUAUUCUGAGAAGGUGCUAAGUUUGAAUGGAGGUACAGGUCCAACGUAAAUAAACGGGUAGAAAAUUGGCUGUUGAAUUUUUCAAAAAUCCUGGAAUUUCGGGUAGGUUAACAUGGCACAGCAGACAUUUGUAGAGGCAUUGCGUUCAAAAUAUUGUGAUGAUUUUGAGAGCUCGGCAGCCAACGAUUUCGUUGUUGACAUUGUCAUAUUUGGGCCCCGUCCGAAUCGACGGUCUGCGAAAUUGACCAGCCUAGGUCUAGAGGACUGUGAUGAAGACAAUGGUGUGGUAUUAAACGAGCCAGAGUUUAAUUACCUAACAAAUGUGGUAUUAACAAAUUGUCAGAUAAGUAAAUGUGGAUUUCCAGCCAGCAGUGCGCUGGAUAUUUGUCCAAAUGUUGUUGACCUCGACCUCUCGAACAACUUCAUUGAUUGUUGGUCUGAAGUACUCUUGCUUUUAGAUAAUCUACCCAAGUUGGAGUUUCUGAAUCUCAGCUCAAACAGACUUCGAGACAAACAGCGCUGUUUGCAGUCACUUAAACGGUAUCAUGGCAAACUGAAUGCAAUUGUAUUGAACAAUACGGGAGUGCGAUGGCAGGAAGUGGUCAACCUUGCCCACCAUCUACCAGUCCUCAGGGACAUUCAUCUCUGUCUAAAUAACUACCACUCUAUUAACAUUGAGUCCCAUGAACUUGCCAGCUGUUUCCAAGGCUUAGAAUGUAUGAGGCUAAAUCAGAACUACUUUAAGCAGUGGGAUGAAAUUGCAAAACUAAGUGGCAUUAGCUCACUAAAAACACUAAUUCUGUCAGGUAAUCCACUCCAGAACAUUGUCUACAAUUCACAAAGAAAGCUGCAGUCUCCAAGACGACAAACAUCAACAAAUAGCCCCAAAGUUAUUGAACAAAAACAUGGUUUACUAUUCUUGUUGCAAGAGAAAGAUAAUAUGUUGAAUAAUGCUGUGGACUCGGACUCUUGUUACGGAAGUGCUGGUUCCACUUUUGAUGAAAAAGAUUGUGAAAUUGGUCAGCUUGUGGAUGACCUCAUAACCAAAUGUGCUGCUGAUUUUCAAGAAUCGCUGACCCAUCAGUGGUCAAGUCCGGAAACAUGGACCGGGGAGCAAACUUGUCCGAACCACUCCCUAACUCUUGAUAAACCUACAUGUCUGUGCCAACAAACCACAGAUUCAAGGUAUCUACCAAAUACAAUAUUUACUGAGAGUAGCACAGACUCUGAAUUGAAUGAUGGAUUGUCGACUGACUCUACCAAUCAUAAACAGGAUGAGGAGGAGUUUGAGGAGGCCACACCUCCUUUUCAAGGUCUGGAAUCUCUAUGUAUGAGUGAGACGAAGAUAUCUGGUUGGACAGAUUUGGAUGAAGUUGUGAAAUUUCCAAGCUUGUAUUCCUUUAAGAUCAGAAAUGUGCCAUUGGGCAGUGAAUUCACUUCUAUGGAGGACAGAAGGAAAAUAAUUGUUGCCAGCCUUCCAAAUAUCAUGUUACUUAAUGGAAGUGAGGUCAGCUCAGAUGAACAUGAAAGGUCAGAGCGAUUUUAUAUCCGACGUUUCAAUGAUGCAGCUAACCCACCAAGCCGCUAUUACAAGCUCAUUGAGAAACAUGGUAAAGUAAUCCCACCCAAGGAUCUUGAUCUUGCCAAAGGUUUUCAGCAACAUGCAACUCUAUCACUUAUGAUGGAUGAGAAAUGCAUCAAAACUAUUGAAAUCCAAACUAAGGAGUCGGUCGGAAAACUCAAGGACAUUUGUGCAGCUACUCUUAAAAUGCCUAAAAAUGUGAUGCGUCUAUUUCAUGUUUCCAAAAACAACCAAGUCGUAGAUGAAGAUGAUUAUGAAGAGCUUUUCUUGGAAUCCCUCCCUCUAAGCCGGUACAAUAUGGUAGAUGGUGAUGAGAUUCAUAUAGACAUCGAUUUUAACAUCUAGAAGGCAGUAGUUACCCAAGUUAUCAAUUAAUUCAGUCAAUUUGUUCAUUCAAAUUGACUGAAAUUUUUAAAUGAUAAAACAAAUAAAAAAGUACAAUACAUACUCAAAGUAUUGAAAUUCACGCCAUUGUGUUGGGAUUUAAUAUUUUGACAUUAAUUAUGUCAUCAUCAGGAAUGAUCAAUUGAAUAUAAUUAAAUUUAGAGAAAUUUAGUGGCGAAUUCAGGGGGGAAAAAGGGUGCUCUGCCCAACUUCCAGUAGCAGGCAUGAUAUCACUAAGUGUCAAAUCAUUUUGAUAAGAGAUUAAAUUGGCUCUGAAGCUGCCAUUAAGCAUAGUCCCUGGGCCCCCACAAUAGGUAAGGUAACACUCCAAAACAAUGCUCUCUCAACCAUAAAUUCUGCCCCAUUGGACCUUAGGUCCUUGAUUGUUACGCCACCCUUGCGAACAAAUUCUGGAUCCGCCACUGCUGUAGUAGACUAUUUUAUUGAUUGCAAGGGAAUGGAGGCUUGCCAUCCCAAAACCAGAGUAAUUAGCAUAAGAAUGUAUAUGUAUACUUUAGUACAGAGAAGCUGUAAGCUUUUACUCAUAACUUUGGCAACAGUAAGUUGAUUGCAGUAAAUGACCCACCAUUUUAAAGCUUAUAAUGUGGAGAAUAAGAAAAUAAAAAGUAAAUUUUCAUUUUUGGUAACUGAUACUGGUUUUGGAAUGGCAAGCCCCAUGUACUCAAAAUACAACAUCAUUACCAAUUGUACAGGGUAAGAAAUUUAUCGAAAAGCCUGGGAUAAUAAAUAAGAAGCUGGCCCAUAUUAACUAGCCAAUCAUAAAGUUUGUAUCAGUGUAACUCAAAUGUUGGUGCUUUAAAAAAACUAACUAACAGUAAAUUUUAUUAGGAGACAUGUGUACACUUGUUUCCUGGUUUUUAGACAAAAUUGCUUUGUAGAUUUAUUGGCCUGUUCCUAAAAAAUGUUGUUUUUAUUGUGCAAACUUGAUGCAGACAGCUAUUUAUCAAUUCAUAUAGGGUGCAUAUAUAUUUAAUGUUUGACUAUAAAAUACUACAGUACAGUAUUAAAAGUUUUAAUGCAAUAGUCUAAGUUACAUUUCCGACGGUUAAGCCGUUAGGCUUAAAUGCAUAUUCUAUGGGCAGCUAGUGGCUCCAUUUCCAGUUUCUCGGCUGUAUUCGUUUCUCUUAAACACGUACCCCUAUAAAUUCCUUUUUCAUUUUGUUGCUGCGAUAUGCUGUUGUGUACCAACGGAUGUCAUGAAUUAAGUAAUGGAUUAAUUAAAUAACCUACUAAACAGAGUUUGUAACACAGUAUUCAUUUUAAGAAUGUUGCAAAAAAGGUUGGUGUGAUGGCAUUAUUUAAUAUUGUAAUAUUAUUUACUUACAUUAGUAUUUUAAAUCAUACACUUAUUUAUAGUGUAUUUAUUAUAUAGUUGUAGAAAUGCAUACUUAAUAUAUAUAUUCAUAUACUUCUGCAAGUCCAAAUACUAUGGUAUCAUAUUCAAUUGCAGAAUUUGUUAUCAAUUUUAUUGCCAUUAUAAGUCUAUCAUUAUUCAUAAUUGUUUUAUUUAGUAGUGAAGAUAGGCCAAGGGUGAGUGUUCGUAUUUCUAUUUGUAUUUCUUGUAUGUUUUAAUGUUUUAUUUAGUAGUGAAUCUAUACCAGAAAGUUUAUUUGGUGUACAAGUACAAGACACGCCCUUCAAUUCGAGACCACUUUGGGAUCUGAAAAUUUGGGGUAGUCUCGGGUUCGGUCUCGAAUAAGAGGGUGCACUGUACUUGUUAUUAAUACUUAUAUAUUAUUGCAAUUUUUUUAAUUAAUUAUUUAGUAGAGAAAAUAAGCCAGUGGGUAAACAUUGACCAUUUCCGAAUGCAAUAUUUUUUGUGGAGAACUAACAGUCAGGAAAAGAAAUGCAUUGCUUGCACAUUAAGGAUUUGAAUAAUUAUUACCUAGUAUUUAUUGUAGUUUCCAUGCAAAGGAAUUACAGAACAGCAAGUUUCUUUGGUCUAACUGCAUGAAAUUAAUUUAUUAUUUAAAUAAUAAUGUCUGUGUUGGAAAUACCUCAGAGUUUAAAAAAAAUGAAGUGCGUAAUUAAAAUGAUAAAAUAAAUUAUCAACAUCCAAAGUGACACAGAUCAAUACAAUUGGAAGCUAAAUCUGCAUUUUACUUUCAAAUAUAAAACAAUUUGAAUAUUAUAUUUUAAUUUCAAUACAGACAGUACAGUAGUUAUUAUAUGUUGGAGUAAUUAAGAAUCAUAAUAUAGAUGUAUUAUUAGUGUCAAUCUCAGAUGUUAAUUUAACAUUCAUCCUUUGUAAAAUCUAAACAUCCUGAGAUUUCCAAGCUAUGAUUGACUGUGAUGUACAGUACAGUAGUCCACAAUCAUGUUCAUAUUUAGAUUCUAUUGGUGAUAAUGAAUUAAUGCAUGUGUGUGCUGUUGAAUAAUUUUAGUCUGUUUUGUGUACACUAACAAAAUUUCAGUUUUUUACUAUCAUGGGUAAAAAGUAUAAUUAAGAAUGCUUAAACAUAGUGAUGCUGCAAGUAUGUUACAUUAGAAGCAGUCUUACAGAAUGUAUUUUUUCAGGGUAAAAUGAGAAUUUAUUUAGGAAUGUAUUUUUAAUGAUCUUUAGAAUACGAGAAGGUGAAGAUGGUUGGAAUAAAACACAAAUUAACAAA
rnacentral:misc_RNA from 1 species